GCGGGAGUAGCUCAGUGGUAGAGCACGACCUUGCCAAGGUUGGGGUCGCGGGUUCAAAUCCCGUCUCCCGCU
rnacentral:tRNA from 2 species